UAUUGCACAAUGGGCGCAAGCCUGAUGCAGCAACGCCGCGUGCGCGACGAAGGCCUUCGGGUCGUAAAGCGCUUUUCGGGGAGAUGAGUACGGACAGUAUCCCCGGAAGAAGCCCCGGCCAACUACGUGCCAGCAGCCGCGGUAACACGUAGGGGGCAAGCGUUGUCCGGAUUUAUUGGGCGUAAAGAGCUCGUAGGUGGCUCAGUAAGUCGGGUGUGAAACCUCCAGGCUCAACCUGGAGACGCCACCCGAUACUGCUGUGGCUAGAGUCCAGUAGGGGAGCGUGGAAUUCCUGGUGUAGCGGUGAAGUGCGCAGAUAUCAGGAGGAACACCAGUGGCGAAGGCGGCGCUCUGGGCUGGAACUGACACUGAGGAGCGAAAGCGUGGGGAGCAAACAGG
rnacentral:rRNA from 1 species